UAGCCCCCCCUUCCAAGACAUUCGGCCUCUAUCACCCAUGUCACCCAGAAGACAGCUCCCGCUCCUCCGUUUUCCUGCACGAAUAGCAUUCAGAAUCGUUCCCACACGAUGGAAUAGUCGUAUUGAAGUAAUAGAACACGAGCACAUCUUCGGUAUCUUAUCCGUUCUUUCCAAGAAAUGAAUACCUUUUUCGUUCCUAAGAUGUGGCUGAAGCACAGUCGCUACUCUUCCUGUCCUUUACGGUUUUUUCAGGUGUACUCAGGGUUCUAACCCUCUAGAGGCAAGCUCUCGCAUUUUCUUUCCUAUCUUGUCAUUGGUUUAUUUUUCUUCCUUCCCCAUCUCCCAAGUUCACAGGCCCUACGUUACCUAUGCACACAUCACCAUAAACGUGCACUCAAAGAACAAACAACAUUUGCAACUCUCGCUUUAUCUGGAGCGCACACAGCAAAAACAUACCUUGUCUCUAUAUAAAGGCUUUUCUUCUCUUGAUCUUCACACGCCGAAACCGGCAUCACUCCCAUCACCAAGUCCUUCAGGAUUCAGAAAAGUUCACCAUGAGAGUCGGUUUGGUGCUCCUUUUAGUGUUCAGCUGCUUCUGGAAUUCAGAGUCCAUCAGCAGAGCUGAUUUCCCGCCCGGAUUUUCGUUCGGAACCGCUUCUUCAGCUUACCAGGUCUUCUUAAUCAUUCGAAGGGGCAGUAAAUGAGGGAAACAAGGGCCCGAGCAUAUGGGAUACAUUCACAAGGCAACCUGGCAGAAUUUUGGACUUCAGCAAUGCAGACACAGCAGUUGAUCACUAUCACAGGUUUAAGGACGACAUCGACUUGAUGAAGGAUCUGGGAAUGGACGCUUAUAGGUUCUCGAUAUCUUGGCCGAGAAUCUAUCCAAAUGGAACAGGAGAACCAAACCCAGAUGGUCUGCAAUAUUACAACAGCCUCAUCGAUGUUUUAUUGGAAAAAGGAAUUGAGCCUUAUGUAACUCUAUAUCAUUGGGAUCUUCCGCAGAUGCUAGAAGACAAGUAUGAAGGAUGGUUAAGCCAUCAAAUAAUAAAGGAUUUCGAGAAUUAUGCCUCCACUUGCUUCCAGGCAUUUGGAGACAGAGUCAAGCGCUGGAUCACAUUCAACGAACCUCAUGAUUUCGCCAUCCAAGGUUAUGACACGGGCCUUCAGGCACCUGGAAGGUGCUCCAUUCUCGGCGGAAUUUUCUGCAGAAAGGGCAAAUCAUCAGUUGAACCUUACAUCGUGGCCCACAACAUAUUAUUGUCUCAUGCUGCUGCUUAUCACAAUUAUCAGCAGAACUUCAAGGAAAAACAAGGAGGCCAAAUUGGAAUAGCACUAGAUGCGAAAUGGUAUGAACCAAUAUCUGACAGCAGCGAGGACCAAGAUGCUGCAAGCAGAGCAAUGGAUUUCGGACUUGGAUGGUUCCUCGACCCACUUUUCUUCGGAGACUACCCAGAUUCUAUGCGAACACUUGUAGGAGAAAGACUACCCGAGAUUUCACUCGAAAUGUCUAAACUCCUGAGGGGCUCGUUGGAUUUUGUUGGGAUUAAUCACUACACCACACUGUAUGCACGGAAUGACAGGACAGGGAUCCGGAAACUGAUACUACAGGAUGCUUCCUCUGAUGCUGCUGUUAUAACUACAGCUUUUCGAGCGGGAGUUCCUAUAGGACAAAGAGCAGCUUCUCGAUGGCUACAUAUUGUCCCAUGGGGAAUACGAAAGUUUGCAAUAUAUGUUAGAGAUAAAUACGGGAACCCACCGGUGAUUAUAACAGAAAAUGGUAUGGAUGAGCUAAACAGACCGUAUGUAACAUUAACUAAGGCUCUACAGGAUGACAGAAGAAUCGACUAUCACAGGGAUUAUCUCUCGAAUUUAUCAGCUGCAAUAAGGGAAAAUGACUGCAAUGUCCGUGGUUACUUCACGUGGUCGCUGCUUGACAACUGGGAAUGGAACUCAGGCUACACCGUCCGCUUUGGACUUUACUAUGUGGACUACAAGAACAACCUGACAAGGAUUCCUAAAUCAUCUGCUCAUUGGUUUAAAAGUUUUCUCACAUUAGGCAGUGAACUCAGAAGUGAAAUUUAGAUUCUUUGUUAGGAAUAUAAUCGAGCCAGCAGCAUUUGUAUAGGAGAUCAUUAAGGAGAAAAUGUACUACGAAAGAAAAAAACUGCAUUGUACUAGAGCUAUCGUGCUCCGAUCACGCGUCAUAUUCAUGACAUACUGGACUGGAAUAAACGACAGUGAGGCCUGGUGAAAUGACUUUUUUUGCCAUCGUGGAAAUUUUGAAGGAUCGAGAACAGAUAUCUUCACCGACUCUCGAGAGUCGGGGUCAAACUGCUUUUCAUCUUUUCUGGGUUAUAUAGAACACAACCAUUAUCAGCGCUGCUGAGGAAGCAACAGGAGAAAAACAGCGACCACAACCAGAGCUAUAAAUUGUCUCACAGAGAGAGAGAGAGAGAGUGAGAGAGAGCGAGAGGGUGCAACA